ensembl:lncRNA
AAUCACACAGCUUGAGUAAUUUGCCUUUCCUUUCUGCAUCCCAAACUCCAUUGCCUCUUUUCACUGGGAACAUUGCUUUAAUAGGUUAUUUACACACAGGUUUUUCUCUUGGGACAGCUUUUGAGCAACCCAACUAAGUCAAACUUUAACCCUCCCCUUGUACAUGGGAAUGAGACGUGUUAAAACUGAGCACUAAGAACUCCAAAUCAAAAGCUAAAUUAGAACCUGGAUCACAGAUGAGAGUUCCCUGCCAGCCUGGAGUCAGCUGUGUCUUCAGCUCUAGAUCGGCAACCUUAUGUCAAUGUGGAUGAAGUUUCCAUAGACUCAGUGUCUGUUCCUCAUGGACUCACUUAGCUGACAUUAACUGGAGAACAUUUGUGACAUUCCAAAGGGACCUCAGCCAACGGUAGAUGCAGAUGGCAGGGCAGGACUUCGAACCUGCAUAGACCAUGAGGUACAUUCUCACCUCUGUCCUUUUUAUUCACAUAUCUACUUCUACAAGCUCAGUUAGAGUCUAAAACACAACUCAAGUGACUCUUGAGGACAGAGAAAUAAGAAAGCAUUUAAUGAAUUAACUUUGAGAAAAGUGAGUCCAGGGGCCAGCUUUAUGUCUACACGAGAUGACAGACAAUAAUCUAUCUGCAGGACAGACUUUGCCUCAGACCAGCCCAAGUGAGAGAUUUAACUGAAAUUGUCAGAAGAAAGACUAAAAUCCAUAGAGCCACAGAGAAUGAAGGCAAUCAUGAGAGAAAUGAGGAUACGAAAGAGCAUGAAGGGAAAUCAGAUACUAAAUGCUGCUGGAACAAUGAAAAGGAAGAACGGAGGUCACAAAAAGCAUUUUCAUUUGAUGAAAAAAACUAAAAUAGUAAAGCAAUCAAAAGCUCAACACAACACGGGAGGGAUCCGUGGCUGAGGAUUGUAUUUCAGAACUGCUGACUGCUCUUGACAAUUGUUAACCCACUAGGCUCCUUUGGUUAGAGAAGCCACAGUCCUUCAGCCUCCACUUGAUAUCAGUACUUAGGAAGACCAAAGCCAGAUUGACAAACAGCAUUGAGAGGCUUUAGCCCUACCCCUCUCAGCUUCCAUCCUGUAGAGAACAGGAGUCAGGAGCUGCUGGCAGGACACAGCAUGUCACACGGGACUCUGCCGGUGCAGAAUAUGAACAAUGCCAUGUUCUUGCUAAAAAUGCUUAGCUUGAGUUUCAUAGGAGGUAAUCAUCAGACAGACAACUGCAGAAUGUAGAACACUGAGCAGGACAACUGUCCUUCACACAGUCCAUGUCACCACGAAUCACACAAUAAAAAGGAGAAAGACAUUUUGGGUUCAAAAAAAGUAAAAAGAUAAUGUAGCUACAUUUCUUUAGUUAUUUUGAACCCAAGGUAUCUCCUUAUCUUGUUGUUGUUGUCAUUGAUGCUAGGGACAUAGACUUGUUCGUAGAGGACAGGUCAGCUGUCUGGCUCAAUGUUCUACAUUUUGAAGUUGUCCAGAAUGUCCUUAUGAUUAAAUUCAGCCUAAACGUUUUGCCAGGAACACUGCAGAGUCACUACUGAGAGUUUCCUACCUCAGCCCAUCUGCAGGCAGAGAAGGUCCAGUUUGCCCAUCACCAUUAUCGUGAUACUAGGACUGGUCACUUGGUUAAGGAGGAAUCUAGGAGACCUGUCCCUUUUAGAGACACCUUAUUUUAAUGAAGUAGUUGGGAAAGUGGUUUUUAAAAGUAUAAAUGUCCUGUAUUCUAAUGAUCAUCUUCUAAAUAUUUUAUCAUUCACUAAUCAUCCCUGCCUGUGUCAAUUAUUAUAUUCAUAUCUCUACACUGGAAAUUUUCUAUUUCAGUUUUUACUAUAUCCUUAUUUUUGCUAGUUUCUGUUGUUGGAAAAAAACAUUUCCUGCCUGGGUUUUAAUUUUUGUCCAAAGUUAACUUUGGACUGGCGAAUUGUUUUUUACAUUCAGUGUUAUGAUCUUUUAUUAUGUUGAUUGGUUUUGGUAGGUAAUGAUGUGAAUUAAUAAAAACAUUUUUAUUUCCGUG